AUUGAACGCUGGCGGUAGGCCUAACACAUGCAAGUCGAGCGGAUGAGAAGAGCUUGCUCUUCGAGUUAGCGGCGGACGGGUGGGUAAUGCCUAGGAAUCUGCCUGGUAGUGGGGGACAACGUUUCGAAAGGAACGCUAAUACCGCAUACGUCCUACGGGAGAAAGCAGGGGACCUUCGGGCCUUGCGCUAUCAGAUGAGCCUAGGUCGGAUUAGCUAGUUGGUGAGGUAAUGGCUCACCAAGGCGACGAUCCGUAACUGGUCUGAGAGGAUGAUCAGUCACACUGGAACUGAGACACGGUCCAGACUCCUACGGGAGGCAGCAGUGGGGAAUAUUGGACAAUGGGCGAAAGCCUGAUCCAGCCAUGCCGCGUGUGUGAAGAAGGUCUUCGGAUUGUAAAGCACUUUAAGUUGGGAGGAAGGGCAGUAAGCGAAUACCUUGCUGUUUUGACGUUACCGACAGAAUAAGCACCGGCUAACUCUGUGCCAGCCGCCGCAGUAACAC
rnacentral:rRNA from 1 species